rnacentral:rRNA from 1 species
UACGUAGGGGGCGAGCGUUGUCCGGAUUUACUGGGCGUAAAGAGCGCGCAGGCGGUCGUUCAAGUCGCGUGUGAAAGCCCCGGGCUCAACCUGGGAAUUGCAUUUGAGACUGCGUAGCUAGGGUGCGGAAGAGGGAAGCGGAAUUUCCGGUGUAGCGGUGAAAUGCGUAGAUAUCGGAAGGAACACCAGUGGCGAAAGCGGCUUCCUGGUCCAGCACCGACAUUCAGGCACGAAAGCGUGGGGAGCAAACGGG